GUAGUUAGCCGUGGCUUCCUCCUUAGGUACCGUCAUUAUCGUCCCUAAAGACAGAGCUUUACAAUCCGAAGACCUUCAUCACUCACGCGGCGUUGCUGCAUCAGGGUUUCCCCCAUUGUGCAAUAUUCCCCACUGCUGCCUCCCGUAGGAGUCUGGACCGUGUCUCAGUUCCAGUGUGGCCGAUCAGCCUCUCAGCUCGGCUACCCAUCGCUGACAUGGUGGGCCGUUACCCCGCCAUCUAUCUAAUGGGACGCGAACCCCUCCUUAAGCGGAUUGCUCCUUUGACCUCAUCCCGAUGCCGGGUCGUGGUCUUAUGCGGUAUUAGCACUUGUUUCCAGGUGUUAUCCCCCACUCAAGGGCAGGUUGUUCACGCGUUACUCACCCGUUCGCCACUAAACUGCCCAUCUUCCAUCCGAAGAUUUCUAAUAAAACAGCUCCGUUCGACUUGCAUGUGUUAGGCACGCCGCCACGCGUCGUCUCGAGCAUAAUACAACUACUAGA
rnacentral:rRNA from 1 species